GAUAUUUUGGCUUCAGAGUCCAAGGUCUGCACAAAGAGAAAAGAAAGUAAGGCAGAAUGUAGCAGGAAAAGAGAAUACAAAAACAAGGACGAGGAGGACACAGGUGACCCUGGGAACUCUGGCACAAACCCCAGAGGACAAAUCUCACAGGGAUGUCCUAAAGGACAGAAAUAGAGGGACUUCGGUCCUGAGCCUGCCCACCCCUCCACACCCACUGAUUUCAGAAGUUCUACCCCGGCAACUGCAGGCGAGGAACGCAGGACCGCAGACCCACAGUCGGAGCGCAAGCCCCAGCUACACCCACCGGAAGCCCCAGCCUCACCUCAGCCCUCACACCUGCAUGCCCUCUGCCAGCUCUUCCUCCAGAACCCUGGGGUCCAGACAGCUGGCUGCCGUGUAUCUCAGAGGCGGGGUACAGGACGGUGUCAGUGACAGCUGUUUCUGGACCAGCAGGGGGCGGCAUAGGCCAACAAGUGGUUCUAGAACUCCCGGAGCAGCUGGCUUGCUCAGGCUGAGGGUCACCACCCGCCGCGCCUCUCAGUCCAGCACCAUUUCCAGAUCUAGGUCUGAACGGGCGCUACUGAGAUUCAAGGGGAACGGCCCUCCUGCCGAUGUCUGGACCUCCGGGGAGAAGCAGGCCUAGAGACCCCCUGCCUUCAUGUUCAGAGGCAUCUGACUGCCCUGCCAGUGUUGUAUGCACUUGAUGCGCUAUUGAGAGUAAAUGACCACCGGAUUCAACUUCCUCCUCAGCCCUGAGGGGCGAUGUCUGGUCUUAACAACAGGGAGCUCACGCCUUAUUGGGAGGGUUUUCUGGUCAAAAGUGUGCACCCACAUCUCCCUAAUGAACUGAGCGUCCAACAAAACAAGGAUUCUCAGCCUUCUUGCAAAGGCCAUUCUGUGCGCAUAGAACGCUCCUGUCCACAAGUACCCUAAUGAGGUACAGGACGGCACUUGAUAUCCGGCCAAAGACAUUCUGCUGGUGCCAGGGAGCCGCAGACGGAAGUUUUCUCUGCCUCUUGGAAAUGAAGCCAAGCUUUCUCCUCUCUGCAGCCACAAGGACUGCGGUUCCCCGGCUUACCAUUCUCUUCUUUAUGGGCCAAGUCCCACCAGGUAACAAAACAAACUCUACUGAAGCUCUGGUAAGAGUAGGGUGCCUGAGGCCUUACAGGGGUCCAGUGUUCACAGCAACAUCUGUAUCACCUCUGCCCUGAGCAGGGGUCUCGUGGGAAACCUGAGAAGUCCUGCAGCCACUGACUCAGUAGUUCUCCACAGGAGCUCUCAGUUAGAUGACAUGAAGCCAAGGGUGUUUCAAGCGCUUGAAACCCUCUUUGUUCCAGCACUGAAGAUGAAUUAUUUAGGCAAAUUUACUAGCAGUUUCUAGAUCUAGGUAACAAAAAAAUGAGGCAUUUUUCUACUAAAACUUGGUCUCCAAAACUCCUCUACUUUCAGCAAAAAUUAGCAUCCUAAGAUACUGAUGUAAGAGCUAUGCCAAAGUUAUAGGGGCAGAGGGAUUGGUCGGGGUGGGGGGGUCUCCUUGAAAGGCUUGCCCUGAGUCCGAGAGACCUCCAACCCGCUGCCCCGCCCAGCCUUGAUGAUGCCCCUGAAGGCUCCAUGCCAACCUCGGGCUAUCCUCUUCCUUUUCAACAUCUGUUCUCCUAAAGUAGAACUUUAAACACAGGGGUCAAGAUGGCACUGCAGUGAGUGCACCCCCUGCAUUCUGCAUGCGAACGUGGGUCACAGGUACAGGCACAGACGUAUAUCUCCGGGACAUGUAGAUGUAAGGAGGGAUGAGCAACUUGCUGCUCUACAUCAAGAGGAUUGUCUUACCUUUUCCUGAGAAUUCAGGGUCUCAAGGGUUGGAAAGGAGCAGGAAAGUAGACAGAUGCGUGAUUGGGGACAGUCCUCAUAUAAGGAGCGGUAGUCUGCUUAAUCCCAGCCCUGUUAUUCCUCUCAAAUUCCUUGCGGAGUGUGGGGUAGUGGAUAUAUUUCACUAUAUUCUGCAUUCACACACGCAGAAUAUCACUAUUCUGGUUACAGGUAAAAACGCAGAUGAAAACCUUGAAUAGACAGCCUCUAACACUUAGGACUAAUGUGAUCCCAUGAUUUUCCUUCCAAAGCCUGCUCUGACCAUCAGAUCCUUCAAGGCUUAGUGCCUUAAGCUCUCAACCCCUGCGAUACUUCUUUUGUCUUUCUUUCAGUCGUGCUUUCUCUCUGGCUCUCACUUACGAAACCUCUCCCUCAUCCUUGUGCCAGUACUCUAUUUUGAGGACUAGUUGACUCUUCCCCGGACUAUCUAGCAGCCAAGGUUACUGGCCUAUGAUGUCUCGGAAGUUGAAGGCCAUCGUAUCUUUUUUUCUUUGUAUGCCUGCUUCCCAGUAAGGGCCUCACAUUCAGUGGAUGCUUAACAAAUAUCCAUUAAUGAUUGCCUUGUGAACAGUAAAGAGUGAAAUUCAAGUUAAUGCAUUUGAUUGUCGGCUGAAUUCAAUGGACUUUUGUUGAAUGUCCACGAAUGCCCUAUACUGACUUGAAGCUAUUCAAGAAUUGGCUUUUAUGUUCCAGAAUAGGAAAAUCUAGAAGUGUUGGUUUGGAGACCUCUCUUAAUGUCAGCAAAGAGCUUAAGAAGCUGUCAGGGGAAAGGUGCACUUUGUGACAUACAGGGACGGCUCAGAAUCAAGCCACUUUCGAAACUGAGCCCCUCAUUGUGUAUGACCCCACCCCCGAACACUAAUACAUUAGGACAGAAGUCAAAUACUAGUCAAUGCUUUUAACAAGGAUGCUUGUUUAGCCUUUAAGAAUCUUAAUGUAUGCAGUGAUUCCUGCAGCAGAUUGCAACCUCAAAGACCAGAGCCAGGGAGAGAGGCAGUGAGCUCAGCUCCAGGAUGCAAGAGAUACUGACAUGGGCACUGUUUGCAUGUUACAUAUGUAGGAAUAUCGUUCCCUUCCCCCGGAAACAUAUCCUCUCUAAUAAUUUCCUUGAUGUAUAUUAUCCUUUAGAUCUGUAUUUCAGUUCUGCUUUUGAAAGACACACACAUACACACACACAUAUAGAAAGAGAGAUAUCUCUAAAAAGUUUCUUCUACUCUAGGAAAACCAGCAGUAGAAGACUAAUAUUACAUAAAAACUGACCUCUGUCAUCGGUGUUAGCAGAUAAUAAGGAUCGAGAAAGACCCAGAAGAGCUGGGGCAUGUGUGCCCUGGUGUGGGGGCAGGGCUGCCCACGGCUAGCCUUUCGUUACUCAGAUGCACUCAAUAUUGUCCGAUUUUACAGCAAUGCCCCAAAUCCAAAUUUUUGUGUGAAAGCAGAUUUUUAAGAAAUCAAGUAACAAUGAAAAAUCCACACAAGACUGUUUCCAGAUACUCCCUCCUCCCAUGUAAUUCAAUAAAAAUUCAGGGACACCAGGAAAUAGCUACCACAACUCUCUUCUCUGUGCAGGCAGGGCCGGUUUCAAGGAAGUCUGUGAGCGUUCCGAACGGCUCCUGCCAGGAAUUCUGCAUCGACUCAGAAAUCCAGGCUGGGAGACGUGUGGACGGCCGACCAUGCCGUCUGCCCACGGUGCACGUGCCUGAAGUCGACCCUGCUAUACCCAGGGA